AACAAAAUUGCCUUUGAUUCAAAUAGAGUAUAUUAAGAUUGAUGAGUACAUCUUACUAUGAUUACACGUUUACUCCUUUUUUAUGAGGAGAACAAAAUAUACAACAUGUAAGAUUGAGUACUCCUUUUUUUAUGAGGAGAAAGAAAUAUACAUGUAAGAUUGAGAAGUACACUUUACUCAACAUGGAUCACUAAACUUAGAGCUAACAUGGCUAUCAUUAGAUGCUUCUCAGAAUUCCCAUAGGCAAUCAAAUAUUGUUGAUUCUCUAAUAACUUGAUCAGUGACUUGAAGUUAGAUGUUGUUGGCUCUAAUAUUGUGCAGUCUUGUAGAUGAAAGUGCCCUCUUCCCACCGACGCCCAAGUAGAACACAACUUUAUGAAUGACACUAUCACACAAUCAUCAAAAGAAAGAGCCCAAUAACUAUUCACACCAGUUAACAUCCCGUAAAUAAAGUAAGUAAUUUCAACGGCAAUUAUGUUCUUAAAUAAUAGACAUUGUGCACUAGAAUCUGCUUUCAUUUACAAGUAGGCCUGUCACUCUAUUCAAUUUCUGAAAAAGCGGAUCGACCAGUGCCUGGGCGGCCGCCUAGGCGGAUUUCUCUAGGCGGCUGCCUAAACCCACCUAGGCGGGGGCGGAAUUGUGGCUUCUUGAGGGUAUUUUUGGGUAAUUUUUGUAAUACUAAAGAGGCAAAAUUAUGGGUUUUAGAUUCACUUGAACCCUAAAACUCAUUACAAGCUAUUUUAGAGAGAAAAAACCCAAAAAAAAAAAAUUUUACGGGGUCGCCUAGGUUUUGAGCACCCGCCUAGGCGCUAGGCAGCCUAGACCCCCCGACUGCACGAUUAUUCAAGUUCAAUAAACUAAAGGGUGAUUCAAGUUCAAUUGCAACUAGGGCAGCAAAUAUGAGGAAAGCUUACACAACAUUCCCAAAUCUAAUAAUAAUCACACCCACCAUAUAACUGUUACUUGAGUGAUACUUUCUUGCUUGGUAAAUUGGGAUAUGAAUUUUGAUACUGAUUUUGAUAUCUUUAACUGCUGCAUCGUAGACAACCUCAUUGAGCGAGAGAGAGAGAGAGAGAGAGA
rnacentral:lncRNA from 1 species